UAAUUGCUGCCGAGCGUAGCGAGGCAGCACCCUAUUCUUGACACGUGGUGGUUGCUCCAGAGUCCACUCGACCCAGUCUUUCGCGCGACCUAUGUAUAGUCGACAUCUCGAUCUUGUGUCCGUCUGUCUGUCUGUAAAGAUGUCGUAAUCCGGGGGGAAUAAUUAAAAGCUUCAGGAACGUUUGUUAAAUGAGGGGAGCGGUCAAAACAAAAUUUUGUAUUGCUCACGCAUCUCCAUGUGCUCAAGAGUUUUCGAGCUUUUAAAUACGGAUGCAAGAAAUCGAAAAUAUUGGGAAAAUUCAGGUAAAUAUGGCUCUAUUUCUUUCUUCUUAUAUAAAUCAAGGCGAU